AACGAACGCUGGCGGCAGGCCUAACACAUGCAAGUCGAACGCUCGUAGCAAUACGGGAGUGGCAGACGGGUGAGUAACACGUGGGAACCUACCCUUUGGUUCGGAAUAGCCCAGGGAAACUUGGGGUAAUACCGGAUAAGCCCUUCGGGGAAGGAUUAUCGCCGAAGGAUGGCCCGCGUCGGAUUAGCUAGUUGGUGGGGUAACGGCCGUACCAAGGCGACGAUCCGUAGCUGGUCUGAGAGGAUGAUCAGCCACA
rnacentral:rRNA from 1 species